rnacentral:rRNA from 1 species
CCUACGGGGGGCUGCAGUGGGGAAUUUUGGACAAUGGGGGCAACCCUGAUCCAGCCAUUCCGCGUGAGUGAAGAAGGCCUUCGGGUUGUAAAGCUCUUUUGUCCGGAGCGAAACGGGCGGCCCUAAUACGGUCGUCUACUGACGGUACCGGAAGAAUAAGCACCGGCUAACUACGUGCCAGCAGCCGCGGUAAUACGUAGGGUGUGACCGUUCAUCGGAAUUACGCAGCGUAUAGCGUGCGCAGGCUGUUAAAUCCCCGGGCUCAACCUGGGAAUGGCAUUUGGGACUGAAAGGCUGGAGUUUGGCAGAGGGGACUAGAAUUCCUGGUGUAGCAGUGAAAUGCGUAGAUAUCAGGAGGAAUACCGAUGGCGAAGGCAGGUCCCUGGGUUAACACUGACGCUCAUGCACGAAAGCGUGGGGAGCAAACAGGAUUAGAUACCCGGGUAGUC